AAGGAGGAGAAACUCCCCCCCUGCGCCGUGGCGUGGGAGCACGGGGCCGCGCUGGCUGCUGCCUGUCGCCGCUGCCCGCGGCCGCACAAGGCUGCACUGUUGGGAGAAGAACAAAACCUUUGUCCUGCUCCAUCAAGGAAGGCUGGCAAGUCACAAGGUGAGGAAAUGUUCCUGAAGACUGAAGGAUAUAAUUGAUUGAAGAAGGUUUUCUCCCUGACUAAGUGAAAAGUAUUUAUCCUGAAAGUUCAGCUGAAAUUCUCAGAAUUUUAUCUUGCUACGUACGCAACCCAAGCAUUGCAACAGCAGGAACCCAAGAGUGCAACUGCCUUGUCAUUACAGGAGCUGAGAGGAACAGAAACAGCAAAUACUACUACAGAAAUGACAAGCAAAAUUAGGAUUAUUAUUCUUUCAGCCUUAAUCAUGUAAAGUGCAAGCAGUACCGUGGCUCUAUGUCCUGUCAGCUUCAGCCCAAUAUUUCACAUGGUGCCACUGGGGACAGCUUUAUUUCGAAUGAGCAAAUAAAUACAGCUCAGCUUUGGUCAGGGAUAACUCUAACAUGCACAAUCUACUCCAUUCACAACCUCAAACAAAAUUACUGCUUAGGCAGCCUGCAGGUAAAGAGCUGGAGUAACCUCAGUUGGUUAGGAAAGAAAUUAAUUGGAGUGAAAGUCCUUGAUGUCAUCGCAGUGCUGCUGGGCUCUCAGAGAGAUGUGAACACUCUGCUGGGAACCUGCUCCCUGCAGACACCAACAUCUGCAAUUAAAAAGGGUUAAUGCUCAUUCUGUGAAUCCUUCCCAGCAUUUACUGCUUCAGCAUGACUUUGGUUUUCACUUUUCUUUCUAGAAGCCAAAGGGAUUUUUUUUUUUUGUCUUUAAUACCAUCAAGAACAGGAAUAGAAACUUUGCAAUAAGCUCAGAAUGUUCUUUGGCUCGGAACAUGGGAAAGAGAUUUAGGGUUGGAUUUCCUAUUGCUUCACACUCAUUCCUGCCUGCUAGCAGGGUGAUGAUUUUGGGCAGGCAUUUCUCUUAAUGAGCCACUGGCAAAAUGACCUGUUUCCCCCUAACUUACUGUUGUAAUCUCUGAUGGUUUCUGGAGGUAAAUGCUUUACCUUCCCUCCUGCCAGUAACCAGGAAGACUGAACUCCAGUGUCAUCUUUUCAAAGACACACUUUGUUUUGUAGACAGGAAGAGCAGGGAGGUGAAGAUGUUUAUCACUUUCUGUGGAGUUUUAUUAGAACGUUUGGGAUGGAUGGUCUGGUUCCACGACCCUCUUGGCAACUGAUCGUAACCGUCUAACCUUUACGGUGAUUCAAUGAUGAAUAUCCAGAAGCAGAGAAAAGUAAAGAAGCAUCCUGCCCUUCAGAGUGGGAAAACAAGGCAGUAUGGGGAUGCCAAGGGGCUGGAGCCCGUGUCAGAGCUGGGACUUGCACAAGAGCUCUCUGUCAGAGGUCCCUGUGCACUGUGCCUCCCACUCGUGCCACUGCUGGAGCUCUCUGUUCCCAGCAGCUGGUCUGACAGCGUUUUGUGAUUGACUUUACAACUGUGCAAACCCCAGAUAUUAAUAGCAGAGAGAUGUCCAGUGCUUUCAGCUCUUCAGCUGUGUGGCUGGCUGGGAGCUGAUUCCUGUGUGCAGACGGGGAAUUGUCCUUGCUCAGGUACUUCAGUCCGUGGGUUUGUUGUGGGCUGACCUGGGAGGAGGAGCAUGUUGGAGGCUUUGACCUGAUCUGGAAUGACAGGCCUGUCAGCAGAGGGGGAGAUCUGGGUGCUCUGGUGAAUGAGAGCAUCAUGGCAAACACAUAUUUCGGUGCAGAACUCACCCAGUGCUGGCAGGUGCCCUGCUCAGUCCUGAAGCUGUCUGCAGGCCAGCAGGAGAGCACACAGCUCUGCUGGACAACAAGAGAAGUGUGAGCCCUUAGGGGAUUAAGAGACCAAAAGGAGCAAGUGCUUUCAAAGAAGAAAACACCCUGCAGUGGCUGUGGUGACUGUUAAUUGGGCACUUACCUGAAGCUGGUUGUGUAUUUUACUGUUGGGAAGUAGUACUUGGUUUGUCUGUGCUGACAGGCACUGUAACCUCAUUGUAACCUUUCGACAUGCACAUCUCAGUGUGCCCACAAUCGUCUCUGGCUGUGGUGUCUGACUAACAAAACACGAGGGCAGCAUCACCUGAAAGUGAAACAUCACCUCCCCUCUACAGGCAGGAAGAGGCAGGUGAUGUGGAACUCCCCUGUUAACAUUUUCCUGGCAGGCUGCUGUGAUGCCAGGAAGAGACAACUGA